UACGUAGGGGGCUAGCGUUGUCCGGAAUCAUUGGGCGUAAAGAGCGUGUAGGCGGUCCGGUAAGUCCGCUGUGAAAGUCGGGGGCUCAACCCUCGAAUGCCGGUGGAUACUGUCGGGCUAGAGUGCGGAAGAGGCGAGUGGAAUUCCUGGUGUAGCGGUGAAAUGCGCAGAUAUCAGGAGGAACACCUGCGGUGUAGACAGCAUGCUGGACCAUUUCUGACGCUGAGGCACGAAAGCGUGGGUAGCAAACAGG
rnacentral:rRNA from 1 species